rnacentral:rRNA from 1 species
AGUGAACGCUGGCGGUAGGCCUAACACAUGCAAGUCGAACGGCAGCACAGUAAGAGCUUGCUCUUACGGGUGGCGAGUGGCGGACGGGUGAGGAAUACAUCGGAAUCUACUUUUUCGUGGGGGAUAACGUAGGGAAACUUACGCUAAUACCGCAUACGACCUACGGGUGAAAGCAGGGGAUCUUCGGACCUUGCGCGAUUGAAUGAGCCGAUGUCGGAUUAGCUAGUUGGCGGGGUAAAGGCCCGCCAAGGCGACGAUCCGUAGCUGGUCUGAGAGGAUGAUCAGCCACACUGGAACUGAGACACGGUCCAGACUCCUACGGGAGGCAGCAGUGGGGAAUAUUGGACAAUGGGCGCAAGCCUGAUCCAGCCAUACCGCGUGGGUGAAGAAGGCCUUCGGGUUGUAAAGCCCUUUUGUUGGGAAAGAAAGGCAGCAGGUUAAUACCCCGCUGCUCUGACGGUACCCAAAGAAUAAGCACCGGCUAACUUCGU